GCCCUUGAGCCGCAUCACCGCGCCUCGUACCCAUCCGCGCCUCACGGCUUCCCGCCCUUGAGCCGCAUCACCGCGCCUCGUACUCAUCCGCGCCUCACGGCUUCCCGCCCUUGAGCCGCAUCACCGCGCCUCGUACCCAUCCGCGCCUCACGGCUUCCCGCCCUUGAGCCGCAUCACCGCGCCUCGUGCCCAUCCGCGCCUCACGGCUUCCCGCCCUUGAGCCGCAUCACCGCGCCUCGUACCCAUCCGCGCCUCACGGCUUCCCGCCCUUGAGCCGCAUCACCGCGCCUCGUGCCCAUCCGCGCCUCACGGCUUCCCGCCCUUGAGUCGCAUCACCGCGCCUCGUACUCAUCCGCGCCUCACGGCUUCCCGCCCUUGAGUCGCAUCACCGCGCCUCGUACUCAUCCGCGCCUCACGGCUUCCCGCCCUUGAGCCGCAUCACCGCGCCUCGUACCCAUCCGCGCCUCACGGCUUCCCGCCCUUGAGCCGCAUCACCGCGCCUCGUACUCAUCCGCGCCUCACGGCUUCCCGCCCUUGAGUCGCAUCACCGCGCCUCGUGCCCUUCCGCGCCUCACGGUUUCGCGCACCCUUGAAUCGCAUCACCGCCGCGCCUCGUGUCCGUCCGCACUUCAGGCCGCCAUGGGUCUGCCCUCACUGUCCAGCCACCACGGCAGCAGGUGACUGGUCACCUCUGUCCUUCCAUGAGCACAUUCCAGCGCCAAGGACAUCCUAGCAGAAAGAAGACGGCUUGGUUUCUUGUCCCAUUGUGAGGGCUUGAGUGGCAUUUCCCCAUCUCCUGGUCCACACUGGUACAAGCAGGACUGAAGCAUUCAGAUAAUACUAAAUGCUGAAACUGAGGAUGCUUGAGGACAGAAUGUCACCUGAAUGAGCUACUCCCUACACUAACCAGAAGGUGACUGGACAAUUUACAUCUGUAUACUUACUGAAAGGAAGGCUGAAGAAUCAUUUUUAUUGUCAGGAGCAGCUUAUGAGAAGAACUUCAAUGUCCUACAGCUGGAUCACCCUUCCCUUCUUUCCCCAGGCUUCAGCCCCAUCAUGCAGGAAGACCACAAGUGGAGGUGCAGCCUGGGGAUCCCCAGCAAGAGAUCAGGCCCUUCUAACCCUGAGACACAGAUGUGCCAAACAGGAGAAUCCUGCACUGCCCAACAACACAGAAGGGUGUUGAUCAGUACAGAUAAUUGAUCAUCUGAGUGUGCAGCCAGAGGAGCCAUCAGAGCACCUGGAAGUGAAGGUGCAGCCCCUGCCUGUUACCAACCGACUGAAGCACCAGUGGAUUUCAGCAUUUCCCAAGCAUCAGCCUGGAACUGGGGCCUGGGAUGAAGCCAUUUUUCGGAAGGUACCAGGUGGUGUGCAAGUGGUGACUUGGUCCUGUGGGGUCUGGAGGGGAUUUGCCACCUGGAGCUGCGAGGUGGCCCAGGGCAGGGGGAGCUGAGGGAAGGAUCAGGCACAUCCCCACGGAGCUGAGGCUGCAGCCCUGCCUCCAGCUCCCCAUGGGGCCUUCAGUGCCCUGGGACACACACAGAGCUCGGGGCAGUCCUGGGAAGGGGCUCAGGGGCUGCUCUCCCUGCCCUCAAGUCCUGCCUGAUCCCUGGGGUGGGGACAUGCCACAAGCAGAACAGAGCUGGGCCAUUGGGCUGGGCUUGGGCUGCCUGAGUGGCAUUACCACACUCCUGCUGGGGUCAUUUUUGGCUCAGACAUCCCACUUCUUCUUUCCUGAAGUGAAUGAUCCUGAGCUGUAUCCUGGUUUAGAGGCCACAUCUAUGUGUUUGGCAUAAUUUUAAAUAUUUUUGUGUGUGUCUUACUAUGAAUUCCUUCUGGUACUUUACUGGCCAGUUCCACAACAUUCUGGGAUCUUUUUGUAAGUCUUUGCAGAAAAUUUUAGUUUUGAUUGUCCUGAAUAAUUUUAUAUCAUCUUGACUAAAGUUUGCAAACUAAUGCUCUGCCUUCUGCUGUUUGAGAGCCUUAAAAUGAACCAGAGCUCCAGCCAGUGAGCCAGUGGCAUGGAUUGUUACAGACAGGGAGUAGCAAAGCCAACAGUUUGCCCAAAAUCCCACAUCAGUUUGGGCAGCUUUAGAGUUUUGAUCUUUCCUCUCCCCUCAGUCCCUUUAGCAUGCCUUCUGUACGUGCUUAUUAAAUCUGGAGGGGUUCUUCUGAUUAACUGCGCCGUAAAUAACUGCAAAGCCAUUGCUCAGGAGGCUGAAGGGGUGGGCAGUAGUUGCACCGAAACCUGGAACAGCAGUUCCAUUCCAUGAGUGCUGGCCUCAGGCACACUGGGGUUAUGCAUUAACACUUGGUGCCAGUGCCCCUCACCUGCACAGGCACCCUGGGCUGCCACCAGCAAGUGUCCAAAGAAACAGGGAACAGGGGUGGAGGAGCCUCAGUGUUGCACAUGGAACAGAGGUCACCCCAAGUCCCCCUGCCUGAUCAGGAAUCUGUAGACCACAGCAAAGUGUGCUUCCUGGAUGGGCAGGGGACUCAUCCGUCACCUAAACAGCUUUAGAAAAGCAGAGAGAUUCUGGGAAAAUGAGUCUGCAUCCUCUUGGCUUCUGACUGAAAUUGUUCAGGGAGGGAAGAUUAUGUAUUGUAGAAAGGGAUGUCACUUGUGUGGGAUAUUUCUUUUAAAUAAAAUAACAUUUCACUAGUGAAAAGGCCCAACAUCAAAAAACAAGUCAGCAACAAAAAGUACAGAGAGAAGGGCAAAGAUGUGAUGAUGAGGGGAAUCUCCACAGCAAAGGAGGGGCGUCCUCUGUCCCUCUAUUGCCAUAGAAGCCACAGGACCCUGGGUGGUGCGAGUUGUUUUCCCCUUGGGCUCCCUGUUCUUUAUGGCUAAAGUCACCCUGAGACCAGGCUUGGGCCCGUGCAGGUCCCUUUGCUGUCCCCUGGCCGUCCCUGGAUGCUUGGGCAGUGCAGCAGCUUGUGCCAUUGCAGCAGAGCCCUUGCCCAGCUCCAGAGUAACAGGGGAAAGAAAUCCAAGGGCAGUUGCUUGUAACUGAAAUGUUGCUGAAGCCAGGAGCCCGGAGAGCUGCUCACAGCACCGUUCUUUUAGCACUUCCAUGGGCCAUUACCCUGCUGGGAUUAAGAGCCCCCUGCCCUGCCAUGCGCACCCUGCCCCAUCACCUGCCUCUCCUGGCCUGGCUUUUCCCCAGGCACUAAUGAAAUUACCACCGAGACUGAUUACAAGUGGGGUGGAGCACUUUGACCAAUGAACCCACACCUGCUCGCGUGGUUGACCUUUAAUGAUCCAGCUCUGUAACUGUGCAGUUUAAUUUGGUUUUUUAAAGCCUAGUCUAGGCAGAAGCUGGAGUUUCAUUUGCCAUCAAAACAUGACCCCUGCUGGAGGACCAAGGAUGUAACUUCAGUUAUUCAUGUGGACAACCCCACACAGAGAAAGGCUCAGAUGUGAUUAAUGUGACAUGUUACAGCUGUCACUGGCUGCAGGAAAUCACAGACAACUAAAAAAAGGUUGGCUUUAAAAGACUUCUUAAAGUAUUCACCCAACUGGAAAGGUAAAAAUGUUUUUUCUGGUUAUUGUUUUUUGGUUGGUUGGUUGUUGUUUUGUUUUCA